rnacentral:rRNA from 1 species
AUACGGAGGGGGUUAGCGUUGUUCGGAAUUACUGGGCGUAAAGCGUGCGUAGGCGGACUAUUAAGUCAGAGGUGAAAUCCCGGGGCUCGACCCCGGAACUGCCUUUGAUACUGGUAGUCUUGAGGUCGAGAGAGGUGAGUGGAAUUCCUAGUGUAGAGGUGAAAUUCGUAGAUAUUAGGAGGAACACCAGUGGCGAAGGCGGCUCACUGGCUCGAUUCUGACGCUGAGGUACGAAAGUGUGCGGAGCAAACAGGAUUAGAUACCCUAGUAGUCC